rnacentral:rRNA from 1 species
GAUGAACGCUGGCGGCGUGCCUAAUACAUGCAAGUCGAACGAAGAGCUAGCAAUAGUUCUUAGUGGCGAACGGGUGAGUAACGCGUUGGUGACCUGCCCCGAAGCGAGGGAUAACAGUUCGAAAGGACUGCUAAUACCCCAUGAGAUCUUUCUAGUUAGAGAGGAGAGAUGAAAGGAGCAAUCCGCUUUGGGAGGGGCCUGCGUCCCAUCAGCUAGUUGGUAGGGUAAAGGCCUACCAAGGCGACGACGGGUAGGGGACCUGAGAGGGUGAUCCCCCACACUGGCACUGGAACACGGGCCAGACACCUACGGGUGGCAGCAGUAGGGAAUAUUGCACAAUGGGCGAAAGCCUGAUGCAGCAGCGCCGCGUGCGCGAUGACGGCCUUCGGGUUGUAAAGCGCUUUUCGGGGAGAUGAGGAAGGACAGUAUCCCCGGAAUAAGGCUCGGCUAACUACGUACCAGCCGCCGCCGUAAAAC